AGAACGAACGCUGGCGGCAGGCCUAACACAUGCAAGUCGAACGCCCCGCAAGGGGAGUGGGAGACGGGUGAGUAACGCGUGGGAACGUGCCCUUCGGUUCGGAAUAACUCAGGGAAACUUGAGCUAAUACCGGAUACGUCCGUAAGGAGAAAGAUUUAUCGCCGAAGGAUCGGCCCGCGUCGGAUUAGCUAGUUGGUGAGGUAACGGCCCACCAAGGCGACGAUCCGUAGCUGGUCUGAGAGGAUGAUCAGCCACACUGGGACUGAGACACGGCCCAGACUCCUACGGGAGGCAGCAGUGGGGAAUAUUGGACAAUGGGCGCAAGCCUGAUCCAGCCAUGCCGCGUGAGUGAAGAAGGCCUUAGGGUUGUAAAGCUCUUUCAGCGGGAAGAUAAUGAACGGUACCGCAGAAGAAGCCCGGCUAACUCGCGCCAGCAGCCGC
rnacentral:rRNA from 1 species